rnacentral:siRNA from 1 species
CCAAUGAUAAAUCUCUUAGGUGGA